UUAGCGUCAACAAGUUAGUAGUAGUAGAGCGACCAGGCAGAAACCCAUGCUGCUCAUCACAGACCACAUUCUUGAAGUUGUAGUACACUCUAUUAUAUAGGCAAAUUUCAAAUACCUUAGAGAAUCCAGAUAAGACCGAGAUAGGUCUAUAAUUGGAUACUAUGAAAUUUUUGAUUCAUUUGGAAGAAUGCCAAUUAUUAAUUUUUCUCUCAGACCAUCAGAAGGGGAAGAAGAAGCAUUGGAGCAAGAGAGAAACAUCAUCAGAGAACAACAAGAAAAACUGGAGAGAGCUGCCAUAGAAUUCGACAAUAUAUAUAACAGUCAAAUGGAGAUUGCAAAUUGUUAAAAAAAGGAUGAUGAUG